GGGGAGCCGGUGUGUGAAGCCGGCACCACGUUAGCGGAACCGAGUUAUUGAAGGGCCCCACCUGGGUGGAGCCGUGAGUGUGAGCAGCUUCCGCUUCCCCCGGAAGCUGGCGUCGUGCAGGAACCCUCACCCGCCCGAGCGGGGCCCUGGGCCUCCGGGUCACUCUCUGUGGCGGGGUCUGGCUGCGCGUCAGACGGCCUCCUCCAAUGCCCGCAGUUGCUGUCGCCCCCAGGCCUGGACCGGGGAGUGAGGGGUGGGCCUGACCGGCCCCUGAGCUCCCGUCAGCCCCCCACGCGAGCCCGUCCUGUGCUGGGGGCAGGGAGAUGGGCCGGUGGGAGAGGAGACCGCAUCCAGCCCUCCCUGGCCACCUGCAGGGUCCCCACCGUGGCGGCUGCUUUACUGCUAACUCCUCCCGGGGACCCCAAGUCCCCAUCGCUCUCGGGGGUCCCCCUCAUCCGAACCGCCUCGGAGGAGGGCCGCAUCUCACGCGGAGCACCCCUCCACGCCUGUGACCCUGGACUUGCUCUCCCGCCCCCGCCCGGGCCUCAGGGCUCAGGAGGCCGUGAUGAAGCCAGCAGGUGAACUGCACCCUGGAGCCUCCGACGGGGCGGCCACGGGCAGCGAAGAACCCGGAAAAACAGUACCCUUCUGAGGUUAAUCCGCGUUGAUAGAAGCAGGUGUGGUUCAUCUGGAAUCUGUUGGUGUGAACUGCGCGGCGGCGUCCCCCACCAGGCACCACAGGCCCGGCGGGUGGUGUGGGGGCCGCAUCUCAUGGAGGUCUCCGUCCACGUUGCCCCCAUUGUGACCGCAGCGGGCGCCUCUUGGUAGCAGCCACCGGCCUCUUCUGGGACUCGCCGGAGGGUUUCCACGUCGCCCGCUCCGACGGGGCUGUUCAUCUCCCCUUGAUCUGUGGGACUCCCCGUCCGUCUCAGGUAUGACCCCUUUGUUGGUGAUCUGGGUUGCAGAUAUCCCCUCUGUGUCUGUGGCUUGUCUCGCUGCGUUGUUUAUGGUGCGCUUUUGUCAUGCAGACGUUUCUAAUUUUGCUCUGUCUGGACUUGGCAAUCUUUCUGUUCGUGAUUUGUGCUUUUGGUGUUUAUGUACAAACUCUUUCCCGGUCCAGAAAGCAUAAAAAAGUUUGCUUUGUGCGCUG
rnacentral:lncRNA from 10 species